GCUUGUUCUCAGGGCAGGGUGAAAUUCCCGACCGGCGGUAUGUCCCAGGUGACUGGGACGAGCCCGCGAGCGCCCGUUCCGACGGAACGGGGUCAGCAGAUCCGGUGAGAAGCCGGAGCCGACGGUACAGUCCGGAUGGGAGAGGAUAAGC
rnacentral:ncRNA from 2 species